GGUGAACGCUGGCGGCGUGCCUAAUACAUGCAAGUCGAGCGAACGGACGAGAAGCUUGCUUCUCUGAUGUUAGCGGCGGACGGGUGAGUAACACGUGGAUAACCUACCUAUAAGACUGGGAUAUCUUCGGGAAACCGUAGCUAAUACCGGAUAAUAUUUUGAACCGCAUGGUUCAAAAGUGAAAGACGGUCUUGCUGUCACUUAUAGAUGGAUCCGCGCUGCAUUAGCUAGUUGGUAAGGUAACGGCUUACCAAGGCAACGAUGCAUAGCCGACCUGAGAGGGUGAUCGGCCACACUGGAACUGAGACACGGUCCAGACUCCUACGGGAGGCAGCAGUAGGGAAUCUUCCGCAAUGGGCGAAAGCCUGACGGAGCAACGCCGCGUGAGUGAUGAAGGUCUUCGGAUCGUAAAACUCUGUUAUUAGGGAAGAACAUAUGUGUAAGUAACUGUGCACAUCUUGACGGUACCUAAUCAGAAAGCCACGGCUAACUACGUG
rnacentral:rRNA from 1 species